UACAGAGGUCUCAAGCGUUGUUCGGAUUCAUUGGGCGUAAAGAGCUCGUAGGCGGUUUGUUGCGUCGGCUGUGAAAUCCCGAGGCUCAACCUCGGGUCUGCAGUCGAUACGAGCAAACUAGAGUGUUGCAGGGGAGACUGGAAUUCCUGGUGUAGCGGUGAAAUGCGCAGAUAUCAGGAAGAACACCCGUGGCGAAGGCGGCUCUCUGGGACGGUACUGACGCUGAGACGCGAAAGCGUGGGGAGCGAACAGG
rnacentral:rRNA from 1 species